rnacentral:lncRNA from 10 species
UGGGUGGAGAUACAGCAGAAUUUUAUUUCCUUCUUUAUACAUUUCCAUUAUUUCCAAAUUUUUUACAGCGAACAUGGUAUUACUUUGUAAGCGGACUGGGGGGAAAAAUCUUGAAAAAAAAAUUCCCUAAAUAUCUUCUUUUUAAAAGUCUGGAAGGAAAUGCACCAAGUUCGUGAACCCGGAUGACUUUUAGUUCUGGCACUGUGGAAUUUUAUCAUUAACUGUGAUGAUGAUGAAUUCUGAGUGGUUAUAAUAUUUAUGAACGAAGCCAGCUGCUCUGGAAGCCGAGGGCGGCUGUGAUGACGCCUGUAUCUUGUAUAAAUAUUCAGGCACGCGAAGAGGGAGGCAGAGGGGAGGGAUGGAUACUGAGGCUUCCGGAGGCGGGGAUCGAACCCUAGGCUUGAGCAUGGUGCUGCCCAGUCCGCUCGGAGGCCCGACCAGCAGGACGAGCUCUUCCCGGCGAGGUGCGGUAAGUGGGACCAUCAGGGC